CUCACUGUAAUUCAACUCCUUGUAGGCUAAGUUGCUGCACCUUGACCAAAACCUGCUGCAAGUAUCUUGCUGACGUUCUCAGGGAAAACCAACGACUGGUAGAGUUAGCUCUGUCUCCGAGUGACAAGGAUGACAAAGCAUUUGAAUGGUUCUGUGAGGGGCUAAAACACCCAGGCUGUAAACUAGAGAAACUACAGCUUUCGCGGGGAUUCAUGACAGAAUCUUGCUGCAGGCAUCUUGCUGAGGUUCUCCGGGAAAACCGGGGACUGAAAGAGUUAGAUCUUUUUCCUCCUGGCGUAGUUUACAAAGCAGCAGCAGUGCUGCGGGAGGAACUAAAACAUCCAGACUGUAAACUAGAGAAACUCUGGCUGAAUGGAGAAUGUAUAAACAUGGAUUGCAGGGAUGAGAACACUAUUGGAAUUGUUCAGAGGAUAUUUUCUAUAUUUAGAAGGCUAUUCUCUUUUCUGGCAAGAGUUCUGGAAUUUAAUUAAUUCCAGCUGGAAAUCUGUAAGACUUCUUUCAAGGAAUCAGUCUGAAACAAAAACUGCUUUAAAGAAUCCAUAUUGGGCUUUUCUCUCUAUUCAGCUGGAAAAUGCAGAGCUACAAGAAGGAAGGUUAGCACCCAAACCAUCCAGAUCACGGAAAGGUGGACAAUGAGUCAUAGACAUUUUCUACAUUGUGAGAGGGUAUGUGCCCUUGAAACCUGGA